GUACACGCUGUGACUAGCAUAUCAAUAAGCGGAGGAAAAGAAACUAACAAGGAUUCCCCUAGUAACGGCGAGUGAAGCGGGAAGAGCUCAAAUUUGAAAUCUUAAAGGGUUUCCCUUUACGAAUUGUAGUUUAAAGAAGUGUUUUCUGUUGAGGUUUUGGUAAAAGUUCUUUGGAAUAGGACAUCAUAGAGGGUGAGAAUCCCGUAUUUGACCUUUACUUUCAACUUUGUGAUACACUUUCAAAGAGUCGGAUUGUUUGGGAAUGCAGUCCAAAAUGGGUGGUAAAUUUCAUCUAAAGCUAAAUAUUGGCGAGAGACCGAUAGCGGACAAGUACCGUGAGGGAAAGAUGAAAAGAACUUUGAAAAGAGAGUUAAACAGUACGUGAAAUUGUCAAAAGGGAAGCGUUUGACACCAGUGUUGUUUUUCUGAAAAUCAAUUAAAGAACUGUUUAUGCUAAGCUGUUUAGACUUUAUCAGCUAUCUGUUUAGUUUUGAGCUUUUCUUUAAUGCACUUUUCAGUUAACAAGUCAACAUCAAUUUCUUUUGCUGUAAAAAAGCUUGAGGAGGUGGCUUGAGAUUCGUCUUAAGUGUUUAUAGCCUCUUGCCUAUGCAGUCGGAGAGAUUGAGGUCUGCAGCGUAGAUCCUUCGGGGCUAAAUGCAUUUGUGCUAAGUUAUAGCAUUUUAUAGACAACUUGUUGACUAUGAUUUGUCUUGUAGCUUACUCGCUUAUGUUAUUUUACCUACGCUUAGGAUGUUGAAGAUGUAGCACAUCAU
rnacentral:rRNA from 1 species